rnacentral:rRNA from 1 species
CAACGGAUCUCUUGGUUCUGGCAUCGAUGAAGAACGCAGCGAAAUGCGAUAAGUAAUGUGAAUUGCAGAAUUCAGUGAAUCAUCGAAUCUUUGAACGCACAUUGCGCCCGCCAGUAUUCUGGCGGGCAUGCCUGUUCGAGCGUCAUU